rnacentral:lncRNA from 1 species
UGAUAAUAUUCUUCUUUCCCCUAUCCCUUUACUCAGAGCCAAACUAAACACAAAGAAUAUUUUCUUAUUUUUGUUUUUAAUGAAUUUCUACAACAUUGCUUCCUAUUAGCAUGAACAAUUUUAAAUGUACUGUAAAAAUAGUAAUUAUGAAAGUUUUGAGGAGGUUGGAUUAGGGAUUGUGCAAUUUGGUGAAUGGGAGGGAUUAUUGGGAAAAUUCUUGAGAAUGAAGACUUCUUUAACAGGCUCUCUUUCUCUUCUGUAGUAAAAUAAUUACACUUAUAGAUAUGCCUAGAUCAUAAGUCAUGACAUUUCAGAAAAAGUAUGAAAAAAGUUUUAGCUUGUGGAUAAUUCCCAUCCUGCUUAUCAACCCCGAUCAGUUUCAGAAUCUCUCCAAUCUCCCACAGAUACAUACAGAACCUAUACCCUAGAGGGAGAUUCUACUCUCAGUGGAACCUAGUACACAAGAUCCAGGUUCUUAGACCAGGAGCAAGAGACACACAUUCAUGACCUAAGAAAGGAAAGAACUGGUUGCCAGGUGCAGGGGAUGGUGCUUCUCAUAAAAGACAAUUCUCCUACAAUUUCACCCACCAUUUACUCUGAAAGAAAUACCCAAUUUGGCUAGAGAGGUGGUUUUUAAAGAUAACUAGGAAGAUGCAUGGGAAAGUACAUCGUCAGCUAAUUAGCUACUGGAUUCUGUAACUGUGAUAGUGCCCAGUUGACACAGAAUGACUUUGGAUGAUGUGUGACUGGGGGUUCUCAUCACCCAAGAUUGUAAGACUAUGGAGUUUAUAGAUACUAAAUCAGGCAAAAGCUGGAACUAUGAAGAAAAACCAUCCCAGACAAUCCUUCGGAAUAAGGAUAAAUUAUCUACUAAAGGGAAAAAAGUACAUUCUUGUAAAACUAUUAAAAGGAAAAAAAAAUCUUUGAUGAAAAGUGAAAAAAGGCUGGUAUCUGUACCUAAAAUUCCAGUUACUCAACUGCUCUCUCUUAUUCCUGGACAAAAAGUGGCUGAGAGUGCUCCAGCUAAGCCUCAUAUUGAAGUAUGGAUUCUUCCCCUCAGAAAGGACCCUCAAGAAUUGACAAGAAUCAAAUCAAGGGAAACUCAAGGAAGUGAAGAUGACCAAACAGAAAUUAUCAGUUGGCAUGCAGAGGAUGAUGCUGAAAAGAAAAUUUCUUUGCCUGACCUGUUUCCAAGCCAAGUUAAUCUAAUUAAUGAGGAAAUAGUUGGUGAGUCUCAAGGCCAAAGAAAGGCAGAUUUGGAAAGGCAAGAUAUUCAGCAUGGUACAAUUACCAAGAAAAUGGGUGAGUUUGAAGGCCAAAGUCUUUUGCCAGAGUGGAAAGAUCAAGAUAGUCAACCUAGCACAACUAGUACCAAGAAAAUGGGUGAGUUUGAAGGCCAAAGCCUUUUGCCAGAGUGGAAAGAUCAAGAUAGUCAACCUAGCACAAGUAGUACUGAUAAAAAAGAACAAGAAGAACCUUCAGGAAUUUCAGAUGUGAUUCCCUCAAUUACAAGUCUAAUUAAACAAUUAGACUUAGACAGAGUAGUUGAGAUAAGCAUAGCUGAUUUAUUAAAGGACACAAAAGAAGUCAGUUUUACUCCAGCACGGGCAGAUGUUUCAACAAAAACUGUGCCUUUCUCAAAGCUUUUUCAACAAAAUAAAAUAUCUGGUUUACUAAAGGACAAAAAAGACGGUGCAAAAUUAACACAGAUGGAUGUGUCCCAAGAGCCUUUUCCACCAAGAAAGAAAUUUGAAAAGGGAAGUGAAUUACCAUCCAAAUUACAGUCAGCCAGAGAUAUUUUACUCCCGUGAACAAUUCCUUCAGUAGAAAAAAGGAGAUAUAUUCAGGAUCACAUUUUAUUUCCAGGAAAAAACUUCAUGCCACAAAAGACAAUGCUACAAUUGAGAAAAUAUUUAAAUGAUGUCAUUCUUCUAUGUAGUUUACGUCAUCAGAUUUGUUGUACUUUGAGGAAGUAUAAAAUAUUAAAAUCUAUUGGGUGUAAUUGUGAAAUAAGAUCUAUGAAAAUUUAUUUUGGGAAAUGCCACUAUUUUCAGUGUCAAAUUAUCAAUCAAAUGAAACUUGUAUUCUUAGGAGUAAUUAUCAAAAAAAUUUUCAAAUUUUGAAAAUAUAAGAGGGAAAUACACAAAUUAGAAGCCCA